AGGACAGUGUGGGCGGAGCGGGUAGAGCCUGGGGGCCGCGAGGGGCGGGGCCAAAGCACACCUGGACCGAUGGACCCUGGAAAGAACGAGGAGGGGGUGCCACCACCUGCGGGGCCGCCCACAAAGAAGAAAUUUGUCAUACCUCUGGACGAGGAUGAGGUCCCUCCUGCAGGGGCCAAGCUCUUAUUCAAAUCCACACGGAGCCUUGCCACCGUGGAGACCUCGGCCCAGGCAGCCCCUCAGACCUACGCCGAAUAUGCCAUCUCACGGCCUCCAGGAGGAGCUGAAGCCACGUGCCCCACAGAGUCAGAACCCCAGCAAGGAGAGACCCCCAACCAGGCUCUGAAACCCGGGGCAAAAUCCAACAGCAUUAUUGUGAGCCCCCGGCAGAGGGGCAACCCCGUGCUGAAGUUUGUGCGCAAUGUGCCCUGGGAGUUUGGUGAUGUAAUCCCUGACUAUGUGCUGGGCCAGAGCACCUGUGCUCUCUUCCUCAGCCUCCGCUACCACAACCUCCACCCAGACUACAUCCAUGAGCGGCUGCAGAGCCUGGGGAAGAACUUCGCCCUGCGGGUCCUGCUCGUCCAGGUGGAUGUGGAUCCUCAGCAGGCACUCAAGGAGCUGGCUAAGAUGUGCAUCCUGGCCGACUGCACACUGGUCCUUGCCUGGAGCCCCGAGGAAGCUGGGCGCUACCUGGAGACCUACAAGGCCUAUGAGCAGAAGCCAGCAGACAUCCUGAUGGAGAAGCUGGAGCAAGACUUUGUCUCCCGGGUAACUGAAUGUCUGACCACCGUGAAGUCAGUCAACAAAACAGACAGUCAGACCCUCCUGGCCACUUUUGGAGUAAGGAACAGCUCUCCUACCCUGAUUGGCACUUCUGCCUCCUUGCCUUUCCUAAGAAGCCCCUCACCCAUUUCUUCCAUCUCCUUGCCCACCCCUGACCCUUCAUGCCUCCCCUACCUUCCCUUAGGCUCUUAAGACUAUCUUAGGCCCCUCAUCAGCUGGGCAGGGCAGGGUUUUGUACUGACCUCCCCUGACCCCUAGCUUCCACCUUCCUCAGUCUCUGGAACAGCUCAUAACUGCAUCGCGGGAAGAUUUGGCCUUGUGCCCAGGCCUGGGUCCCCAGAAGGCCCGGAGGCUGUUUGAUGUCCUACAUGAG